UGGGGAAUAUUGGACAAUGGGGGGAACCCUGAUCCAGCCAUGCCGCGUGUGUGAAGAAGGCCUUAUGGUUGUAAAGCACUUUAAGCGAGGAGGAGGGUACUGGUAUUAAUACUACCAGCUACUGGACGUUACUCGCAGAAUAAGCACCGGCUAACUCUGUGCCAGCAGCCGCGGUAAUACAGAGGGUGCGAGCGUUAAUCGGAUUUACUGGGCGUAAAGCGUGCGUAGGCGGCUAAUUGAGUCGGAUGUGAAAUCCCCGAGCUUAACUUGGGAAUUGCAUUCGAUACUGGUUAGCUAGAGUGUGGGAGAAGAUGGUAGAAUUCCAGGUGUAGCGGUGAAAUGCGUAGAGAUCUGGAGGAAUACCGAUGGCGAAGGCAGCCAUCUAGCCUAACACUGACGCUGAGGUACGAAAGCAUGGGGAGCAAACAGG
rnacentral:rRNA from 1 species